rnacentral:rRNA from 1 species
AGAAGUAGAGGGUGGUCUAUGAGCAAGAAAAGUGUUGACUCUAGACGUGUUAUGGUGUGACUAAGACUCUGUUGGGCAGGAACAAGCAGUUGGAGGCCCGACUCUUCAACAUCAAAGAAACUCAGCCUCCUCUUCACCAGUCAUGAAAUUUGA